rnacentral:rRNA from 1 species
UACGUAGGGUGCAAGCGUUGUCCGGAAUUAUUGGGCGUAAAGCGCUUGUAGGCGGUUUGUCGCGUCUGCUGUGAAAUUUCGGGGCUCAACCCCGAACUUGCAGUGGGUACGGGCAGACUAGAGUGUGGUAGGGGAGACUGGAAUUCCUGGUGUAGCGGUGAAAUGCGUAGAUAUCAGGAGGAACACCGGUGGCGAAGGCGGGUCUCUGGGCCGAUACUGACGCUGAGGAGCGAAAGCGUGGGGAGCGAACAGG